CAGCAGUAGCCACGGUAAUACGUAGGGUGCGAGCGUUAAUCGGAAUUACUGGGCGUAAAGCGUGCGCAGGCGGUUAUAUAAGACAGAUGUGAAAUCCCCGGGCUCAACCUGGGACCUGCAUUUGUGACUGUAUAGCUAGAGUACGGUAGAGGGGGAUGGAAUUCCGCGUGUAGCAGUGAAAUGCGUAGAUAUGCGGAGGAACACCGAUGGCGAAGGCAAUCCCCUGGACCUGUACUGACGCUCAUGCACGAAAGCGUGGGGAGCAAACAGGAUUAGAUACCCCGGUAGUCCCUGUCUCUUAUAC
rnacentral:rRNA from 1 species